ensembl:lncRNA
ACUCAGACCUCAGCUCAGCGCGAGGAGGGACCACAGCUGGGGCCUGGGGGUGGGCUGCUGGUCGGCUGUGGCCGGGGGCACGCGGUGAGCCGGGACCCUCCCCGGGCUCUGGACAGGCAGAGGGGGCCGCUCCCUGGAGCCGUGGACACCCCCGCCCCCACCAGAGGACACUCUCUUCCCUCUGCCGGCUUAGGUCAAGGUCAGCAAAAGCAUCCGCACUGCCGACGUCGGGGCGGGCGCGGGCCUGAGGCCUCCUGGCUCAUCUGCGAGGUUGCGGGCAGAGCAUCUCCUGUCCUGGCCUGUUUCCUGUAACCGCGGCAGAACCACUGGGCGCUGGGGUUCCACAGCCUCCGCAUCACAGAGGCGGCGGCCUGGGGACGCAGCCUGAGCACGUUCUCCUCCAAAGUCUUGUCUGAGACUGAGGCUCCAGGCCCUCAUCCUCAGGGUUGGGGGUGCUAGGGAACUGAGGCCCCAGGCCCUUGUCCUGGUGGGGAGAGACUGAGGCCCCAGGCCCUCAUCCUCAGGGUUGGGGGUGCUGGGGAACUGAGGCCCCAGGCCCUCAUCCUGGGGGAGGGGCAGGGAGGGAGGCUCCGUGUUGCUGCUCACGGCAGAUGGAGGGGCGGGCCUCGAGCGUGGCGGUGGGGCUGCUGCUGAUGCGGGGCUCUGGGGCACCAUCUCCACAGGCCCUGCCCCGAGGGGCUCCGUGAGAUGGAC